rnacentral:misc_RNA from 1 species
AGGGAUGGCCCAGUGAGGCCUGUUGUACGAACUUUUUAUGAUCAUCAACAACCUAUAAAUGACUUGGAUUUUCAUCCACAAAAUACAGUACUCAUAUCUGGAUCAAAAGAUCGCACCAUCAAGUUCUUUGAUUUUUCCAAAGCGGUAGCAAAGAGAGCAUUUAGAGUGAUUCAGGAUACACAUAAUGUAAGGUCGGUGUCAUUUCAUCCUUCAGGGGACUAUCUUCUGGCAGGAACUGAUCAUUCAAUUCCCCACCUAUAUGACAUAAACACUUUCAAAUGCUACCUGCCACUAAAUUUCCAAGAUAUGGGUGUCAAUAGUGCUAUUAAUCAGGUUAGGUAUUCAUCUACAGGUGGAAUG